rnacentral:lncRNA from 1 species
AAUAAUGCUUUUGGUAAGCAUUUUCGUAGUUGGGCCUUUUUAUGGCUAAUCAGAAAGCAAACUUUUUAAGGGCAUGGUCCACCAGUUCAUGUAAAUAUGUAAGCAUUUUCGUUGUCUUCGAGUUUUCCUGCACAUGACAGGUUCCUUGUCAUGGACCAGUCCCAANNNGGGGGGGGGGGGGAGGAGGGGAGUGGAGGGUUCAGUGUAUCUGCUGUUGGUUGGCUUACUUGCAUUGGGUCGUUUGAUGUGGCUUCAUUCUAACUGAAGGAACAAGGUAGACAAAUUCAACCUAGUUCCUGUCAUUUUUGGCUUAGCAUCUUCUGCUUUUAAUUCGGAUGCUACGUACUUAGGUUAUCGUUUGGUAUACUUUAGAAGUGGAAUAGGCUUCCACUUGUUUGUUAUACAGGAAACUAUUUAUUAUAUACAGUAUGUAUAUUUGAAUACCUUGAAGUUCAGCGGAAAUGAUAUUUAUUUAUAUAUUUGAUUUCUGCAAUUACCAUUGAGUUUUAGUUAGUCAUCUUAAAAAUGUCUUUGGGAUAGGAAUGUUAGGAUUUUAGACAUUCAUUCAUUUUCAUUUUCAUUUUCAUUUUCAUUUUCAUUUUCAUUUCCUUUUUCUUUUUCUUUUUCAAGGUGUUCCAGACAUGUCCUUUGAGAGUUGUCUUGAACAGAUAUGAAAAGAAAACAAACCGGUCAUGUUCAAACCCCAACUAUAAACUUGGUUGGUUCUGUCAUUUGAUCCGUCGAUGAAUGGCCUCGUUGGAAACAACACAGGCUAAUAAUGUCUUAAGCCCAAUAACGCUCCUUCUGCAUAUACUAAAAACCCUUUUCAGCGACUCCAAGAGUUCAUGUCUUGUUGCCAGCUGCUUAUUCCUAAUAUCCGGCCAAGCAAUGAAAAAGACAAUAGCAUAUGCUUCAUCUGUUCGUAAGUUAAAGUUUAGAAUUAGGUUAUCAUCAAGUUCGUGUUUGGCAUUAUGUGAAUGUUGGUAUUAGUCAUAUUGUAUGUGGAAGAAUUAAAAUUUUGUAGCACA